rnacentral:rRNA from 1 species
GGACUACUCGGGUUUCUAAUCCUGUUUGCUCCCCACGCUUUCGUGCAUGAGCGUCAGUGUUAACCCAGGGACCUGCCUUCGCCAUCGGUAUUCCUCCUGAUCUCUACGCAUUUCACUGCUACACCAGGAAUUCCAGUCCCCUCUGCCACACUCCAGCCUUGCAGUCCCAAAUGCCAUUCCCAGGUUGAGCCCGGGGAUUUCACAUCUGGCUUACAAAACCGCCUGCGCACGCUUUACGCCCAGUAAUUCCGAUUAACGCUCGCACCCUACGUAUUACCGCGGCUGCUGGCAC